CUCACUCGUCCAUCGCUGCUUCCCUCAGUUACCUCUCUCAUUGCAAAUGUUAGCUCAGUCGCACUUCCUCUGCAAGUCCUUCUCUCUGAUCCCGCCGCCGUCUCCGGUGGUGCUGCGGUCUGCGACUCGCUCUCUUCGUCUCUCUUCUUCCAAUAGCAGUCGACUAUCCUUUCCAUCGUCUUCCUUGAGCGCUGCUGUUUCGAUCUCCCGCGGCCAGAUCUCCCUGGCAAUGGCUUCGAACUCGAAACGGACUGACGCACGCGACGAUUCCUCUUCGGAACCGAUCGCCACCGAUCUGGAUCGAUUCGCCGCCGUGGCGAAUGAACUGGCCGACGCUUCCGGCGAGGUCAUCAGGAAGUACUUCCGGAAGAAAUUCGAUAUUGUGGAAAAAGAUGAUAUGAGUCCUGUUACUAUAGCUGAUCAGAUGGCUGAAGAGGCCAUGGUGUCUAUUAUUUUCCACAACUUCCCUUCUCAUGCUAUAUACGGUGAGGAGAAGGGCUGGAGAUGCAAAGAAGAAUCUGCUGACUAUGUUUGGGUUUUGGACCCAAUCGACGGAACUAAGAGCUUUAUCACAGGGAAGCCUGUGUUUGGUACGUUAAUAGCUCUGCUAUACAAAGGCAAACCGAUUCUAGGUCUAAUUGAUCAGCCUAUUCUGAAAGAGAGAUGGAUAGGAAUGAGUGGAAGAAGAACUAAAUUAAAUGGGGAGAAUAUCUCAACGCGAUCUUGCCCGAAACUGUCACAAGCAUAUUUAUACACCACUAGCCCACAUCUUUUCGCUGGAGAGGCAGAAAAGGCAUUUGCUAGAGUUAGAGAUAAGGUAAAGAUGCCAUUAUACGGCUGUGAUUGUUAUGCUUAUGCUCUCCUGGCUUCUGGAUUUGUCGAUCUUGUUAUUGAAUCUGGUCUAAAGCCAUAUGAUUUCCUAGCUUUGGUACCUGUAAUAGAAGGGGCUGGAGGUACCAUAACCGAUUGGAAUGGUAACCCACCUCUUUGGGAAGCUUCAUCCAGUGCCGUUGCUACAAGCUUUAAUGUAGUCGCAGCAGGAGAUUCAGACAUUCAUCAGCAAGCAUUGGAGUCACUUGAGUGGCACUGAAAAGCUUUCACUGGAGAGGAAGUAUAGGUGAGAAAAGAUUAGGGUCAGUCACAGAUUGUGGAAAAAAAUCAGAGAACCAUGAAAGGGAGAGGAUUGUCAAGGUUCUACUCAGGGAAAGCAAGAUCAUUUGUUUGUAUCUUUGAUGUUAAAUGCCUUGAAGAUCUCAAGAAACCAACCCAACUUCUUGAUUUUGAUGAUGAUGAUGAUGCGUACACGAAGAGGAAGAAGAAGAAUAAGCAAUCAUCUUCAUCUUCAUUUUCUGCUGCUGUCAACAGCAAUGUUAACUAUCAAAACUACCCUUGUCGUAGAGUUUCUAGUAGCACACAUUGUUCCUCACCUUGUGUUAGUGCUUAGAUUAAAAAGAAAACGGGUUCUCAAUUUAUCACAAACCUUCAUCAAUACGUUAUACAGUAUUAACAUCCCGUUCACAAUCAAUUUUGAGUUUUUUUCCUUUAAAAUGUUUUGGUGCUUCUUUGCACCAUAUUGUA